AGUGUGCACCCAUUCGAAAGAGAUUGAAUCCUGACGACCGUCAAGGAAAGGGCCCCGGCUUCAGUGAAGGCCGCGGUGGGGGCCCGACCCGAGGUGGCGGCGAUUCGAGCUCUUCCUGCCCUCCCGAGUACACCUCUGCGCCUCUAACCCCAGUCUAAUUGUGAGAACAAACACUCCACCACCAAGACAGAUCUCACGUUGUCAAGAUCAAAACCCAGAAAGUCUGAGGAGCCUCACAGCCCAGAACCCUGAGGAGGCAGAGUACUGCUGCGGUUUAUGUCCCUGGGAUGAGCUGAAGUCAGAUCCCCAUCCUGAGAUAGCAGAAGGUGGAAACGUAAUCUGACUAUGACAUUUGGAGGGGGCCUUGGGCGGUGAUUAGGAUUUGAGGUCAUCAGGGUGGCUGUCCUAAUUGAAUCCAGGUGGCUGCCAGCGGCCAUCUGCGAGCUGUGCAGGAGCUAAAGCGAUGUGGACCAUUAGGCAGGAAAGCCUGCUGCAGCGACCCUGCUGGUUUAGAACGCCUGGUUCACGUGGCGUCCCGCCCAGCCCCACAAGUUCAGCACAGCACCAGAGAUCGGUGACCCAGCUGGAGCCACCAGCCUCUCAGAGAUGGGUGUGGCUUGGCAAAAUGCCAAUCCACCUGUUUGCUGCAAGACCCCUGCUGCACCCAGGAGCAACCGCAAACCAAGACUCUUCCCACUGAAGCCUUCUCCCUGGCUUUGAUGGACUCUCCUUCAAUAAAGAAUCGGGGCGUCUUCAGCUGUUCGGUUCCAGCUCCCGUCGGGACUGGAAGACCCAUCAGGUGCUCCCCUUUUCCUAUCUAAUUUCUGACUCUGUCUUUAUUUCUGAUUAUUUCAGACUUUUUAUUUCCCAAGCAGCUCACACCUCCUGAGCAGGAACCUACCCUGGCGGUGCUGGCCACCCCAAUAGUGGUUUUAUUUUUAUUUAUUUUUUGUUGCUGGGGAUCGAACCCAGGGCCUUGUGCAUGUGAGGCAAGCCCAUAGUGCUCCCUGUCUCUUGCCAUGUGACACACUAUUUUGGGAUUCUGCAGGCAGAAAGGCCACCACCAAAUGUGACCCCUCAACCUUGUUCCUCCAGAAUCAGAAGUCAAAAUAAACUUGUUUUCUUUAUAAA